CUGGCUAUAGAGUGUGGCUGCUCUUCGCUCCACUCCAUUGGAUGGGGAGAUGCUGGAAUUGUGUUCCUCCCCCAUGCUGCUGUCUGGGAGAUGUAGCAGAGACCUCUUCUGAUAGGAAGGGAAACAGAUCCAGAUGGAGGAAACAUCUGAUAAAGUUUGCCUAAGCAGCCAGCAGUCUAUCAAUCAUGACUCUUCCAACCCUCAUCCUGCAUCUAUAUCUAGAUUCAAAGAAGUCCAUGCAGGAGGCAGUCUACACUUUUCAAGAGAAAAUGGAAGGACUUCAGAGUUGAUUUGAUGAAGCUCAGUAAAAAACAUAAUUUUAUGUUUCUCUUUUAAGUUGUUGGCUGUUUGUUUGUUUAUUAUGAAGCCAUUUAAAGAGUCUUCUUGUUUAGCAGUGUAUAUAUACUGCAGAUCAUGGUUACUGAGACUCUAGAUGACAGAAGCGUGUAGUCUGUGUCCUUGGGUGACUUAAAAAUAAAAGCAGAACUUUUA
rnacentral:antisense_RNA from 1 species